CAAAAUCCUGUUUAUACCUCUGCCAACGCCGUCCUCCAACUGCUGUGACGAAUUCUUGUGCCUCCACCUGGGCCUGGGAUCUGUUUCUAAGAAGCCUCAGAGUGUUUUUAACCAACGUGAGGAGUUUUUCCAGAUCAGUCUGUCAGGAAAGAGUUCAUCUCAACAGGAUUGUUAAGACGGAAGAUGUCCUUAAAGAGACGGCUGCUGUCCAUGUUGUUGUGCUGUGUUUAUUGCGUGGCCUCGCUCUUCUGCCUCCACCCAAACCGCAACAACUGCUUCUCUAUGGGAGCUCGGAAUCUGGUGUCAGUCGUUCAGCAGCUUUACCAGCGUGUCAUUCGACUGCUGCGCACCACUCUGUGAUCCACAGCGCUGCCUGUGUUUCAACCAAUAACUCCGGACCUGUCCUGCCACUGCGGCCACUGUGGCUGUUUUCAAGCAUGUCCACCAGUAGUGCAUCACCAACUUAAAAUAAUAAGAAGAAACAGAGAAAGAUGGACAUGGACUUUCAGUUUUCUCUGAUUUGGGAUCCAAGUGCCCUGUUGUUUUCGCUACUGCAAUUCCCAACUAUAUUUUAGAUGAAGUUAAAAAGUUAUUUUUUUUACCGACGUAGAUUAACAUUGUGGAUAUCUGCUGUGUGAGAUGCGAGUGAUGUGAAAAGGACAGUAGUCUUUUAAAUGCAUUUUGAGGGUUCACUGUGAGCUUGGCUGCUGUUCUGUACACUGCAACAGCAGAAGAAUGAAGGUUAAAGAAACAGGCUUGUAACUAGGUGUUUGCUGGUUGAAAUUGGCAGUAUUGUUGUAGUAAUCCAGAUCUUCUUCCCUUCAUUAACAAUCACAGAGCUGUCCCUGAGCAAGGCACAAAAAGUUUUUAGUGGAGCUGCAUUGUAGCUGGCAGUUGCACCUGUGUUGUGAGUGUAGCUUCAAACACACACAUUAGAGGUCGUCACAGGUUUAACAUUUAGGAAAUCCUGCCCAAAAGUCAACAUGUAUUAAUUAAUUUUCAUGGAAAGGUCUUAAAGGAGACUGGGUCCAAAAGGGACUUGAAAAUAAUCAGAUCCAAUCCAAAAUGGAGUCGACCCUAUCAGACCCAAGCAGAGAGAGAACACACUAGCACUGGCAGCAGUAGCAUGCCCCACCGAUUAAGGAGCAGCCAUAAUAGGAAAAUGUAGCAAUACAUGUUAGUUUCCACUGAAACACUAUGUGAUCAGAACUGAUAGUGAGUAUUCUCAAGACCUGAGUCUUGCACCAAUACCACCAGGCACUAGUCUGACCAGUUAGAGAACCAAGGCUUUAAUAUGUCACAUCAACACUUAACUUAUGCUUUGCAAGUGCACAGUUGUACAUAGUUUAUAAUGUGUCCUUACUUCCCGGUGUAAGAGCUCUACGGGGGGAAAUACAGCAAGAGACGCAUCAAAUUCUGUGACAGGGAAAAAGGAACCAUAUGCACCAAGACAGCUUUGCCUUGUUUUUGCUGUAAUGCCCUUUACAACUAUAUGUAGGGUAUGUGUUAGACUUAAAAGGCAUUUUGGACUGCCAAACAGU